rnacentral:rRNA from 1 species
AGAGUUUGAUCCUGGCUCAGGAUGAACGCUAGCUACAGGCUUAACACAUGCAAGUCGAGGGGCAUCAGGAAGAAAGCUUGCUUUCUUUGCUGGCGACCGGCGCACGGGUGAGUAACACGUAUCCAACCUGCCCUUUACUCGGGGAUAGCCUUUCGAAAGAAAGAUUAAUACCCGAUGGCAUAAUGAUUCCGCAUGGUUUCAUUAUUAAAGGAUUCCGGUAAAGGAUGGGGAUGCGUUCCAUUAGGUUGUUGGUGAGGUAACGGCUCACCAAGCCUUCGAUGGAUAGGGGUUCUGAGAGGAAGGUCCCCCACAUUGGAACUGAGACACGGUCCAAACUCCUACGGGAGGCAGCAGUGAGGAAUAUUGGUCAAUGGGCGAGAGCCUGAACCAGCCAAGUAGCGUGAAGGAUGACUGCCCUAUGGGUUGUAAACUUCUUUUAUAAAGGAAUAAAGUCGGGUAUGGAUACCCGUUUGCAUGUACUUUAUGAAUAAGGAUCGGCUAACUCCGUGCCAGCAGCCGCGGUAAUACGGAGGAUCCGAGCGUUAUCCGGAUUUAUUGGGUUUAAAGGGAGCGUAGAUGGAUGUUUAAGUCAGUUGUGAAAGUUUGCGGCUCAACCGUAAAAUUGCAGUUGAUACGGA